rnacentral:rRNA from 1 species
CUACGGGUCGCUGCAGUGAGGAAUAUUGCACAAUGGGGGGAACCCUGAUGCAGCAACGCCGCGUGGAGGAUGACGCAUUUCGGUGUGUAAACUCCUUUUAUAUGUCAAGAAAAUGACGGUAGCAUAUGAAUAAGCACCGGCUAACUCCGUGCCAGCAGCCGCGGUAAUACGGAGGGUGCAAGCGUUACUCGGAAUCACUGGGCGUAAAGGACGCGUAGGCGGGUUGGAAAGUCAGGUGUGAAAUCCUACAGUUUAACUGUAGAACUGCACUUGAAACUUCUAAUCUAGAGUAUGGGAGGGGGAGAUGGAAUUAGUGGUGUAGGGGUAAAAUCCGUAGACAUCACUAGGAAUACCUAAAGCGAAGGCGAUCUCCUGGAACAUUACUGACGCUAAGGCGUGAAAGCGUGGGGAGCAAACAGGAUUAGAUACCCCUGUAGUC